rnacentral:tRNA from 1 species
GGGGGUGUUGCUCCGAGGCAGAGCACUUGCCUAGCAUGCAGGAAACCUUGGGCUCAAUUCCUGGUACCACCA